CGAAGGUGCGCAGGUAGUAGGUGUUGGUGUGGGUAUCAUAAUAGUAGUGCUGGUGGUGCCCACUGCCGCCGCCGCCGCCGGAGUGCAGGCUGCUGCCCUCGCUCAGCACCGUGUCCCCGCCGUUCUGGAAGCUCACGUUGGGCCCGUCGACUCCGACCCCGGCAGCAUCUGACAGGCUGUCUUCAGCCGACGAGGAGGCAGCUGGGUCCACGAAGUUCACGCGGAAGCGGCCCUUGGCUUCCUCGCUGCCUUUAGCCGGCUCGCUCUCGCCGCUGGCUUCCCCGUCCGCGGGGGUCUGCUUGGCCCCCGCCCCAGCACCAGCCGCCGCCGCUGCCGCCGCCGCCGCCGCCGCCGCAGCAGCGGCCCGCCCGGCGUUCUCGGAAACCAGGUCCACCUGGAAACGGCUCUGGCUCGGGGUGGGCCCCAAGGGUCUGCCCAGCCCGUCCCCGGCCGCCGCGGGGCCCUCAUCGCGGACCCCGCCGCCGUCCCGGCUCGCGGGCGCAGCAUCCUCCGGCACCGAGGGCACAGCCGUGCCGGGCAGUUCCACCCUGGCUGCGGCCAGCGCAGCGGCUGACGGCGUCUCCCCGACCCCGGCCAGUCCCGGGGCGCCGGAGGAGGGCGCCGUGGGCCGCGGCUCCAUAGCUGCCCGACCCCCGGCGGAACUGCAGAGCCCGGCGGACGUCUCCGGCAGCACGCCCUCCACACCCCUGGCCGGCGGUGGCCACAGCCGCAAGACCAGGUGCAAGCGGUCUUCUCUGUCUUCUUUAUGGCCAGUAAAAUUCUCCAGAAGAGAUUUAUGGCAGCCUCACUCCCAGUAGUUUCUGCAUUUAGUGAGAUAAGAUGGAAUCUUGCUCUCUUGCUCAGACUGGAGUGCAGUGGCAUGACCUUGGCUCACUGCAACCUCACCUCUCGGGUUCAAGCGAUUCUGCCUCAGCCUCUCGAGUAGCUGGGACUACAGGUGGGAGACCUCCACAGAACCCUUCCAGCAAGCUGUCUUCUAAAGCAAACAAGAAAAGGAAAGUCUGAGCAGUUUUGAUUAGAUUUCCCAGAAGUCAAAGCAAGGAAAAAUGAAAAAGCUUCAUUUCUCACGUUCUUAAAAGAGAGCACAGAUGUUGCAUCAUCUGGUUAGAUACCCUGAGAAUAAAAUCUGGAUCCAGUGAGAGGAAAGAUUCUGGGUGCUCAUGAAAAAAGAAACAAAACAAAACUUGGGAGCCUCUUGAGAGUGUACAGCAUCAGCCCUUGCCAACUCUUGUUUAUAUGCAUUUAACUUUCAGUUAACCAUGGGAAUAAUUCAUGAAAAUCCAAUCUACAAACAAAGGCCAUCCUAACGUUCAUGUUAUUCUUUUCCCUAAGAAUCUUUCACAAGAGCUAUAAUCAAGUAGAAUUAUGCUUUGAUUUGAAUUCUAAUUCAAUUGAAAAUAAAAAAUGAGGGCCGGACGCGGUGGCUCAUGCCUGUAAUCCCAGCGCUUUGGGAGGCUGAGGUGGACGGAUCACGAGGUCAGGAGAUCGAGACCAUCCUGGCUAACACGGUGAAACCCGAUCCCUACUAAAAAUACAAAAAAUUAGCCGGGCGUGGUGGCAGGCGCCUGUAGUCCCAGCUACUCGGGAGGCUGAGGCAGGAGAAUGGCGUGAACCCAGGAGGCAGAGGUUGCAGUGAGCCGAGAUCAUGCUACUGCACUCCAGCCUGGGCGACAGAGCGAGACUCUGUGUAUAAAUAAAUAAAUAAAUAAAUAAAUAACGAAAAGGUUGCCAUUGCCCUUUCUGGGGAAAGUGAUAAUGAGGAAAGACUAGUUUCUUAACCCAAGUCAGCUUUAGAGUCGGCAAGGAUGCAAUUUGAGGUGAUCCAGGAAAACUCUAUUAGCAUGGUAUUUCCCAUACAGAUUCAUUUCUUUUAGGCCUGAAGUCUUUUUGGCACUUCUUAAUAAAAUCACAGAUACCUCUUGGACAUGAAAGCUUAUCCUUUAUCAAUUUCUAUCAGUUAACCACUCAGAUGAGGAUAAAGGCCUGAGUCAGAAAGGACAGAGAGAGGUUCCACAAAGAGAUAAAAGAUGAGUGGCCAUAAGGAGUCCUUGAAAACACACCUCUCUAGCCCAUCAAAAAAUGCAGCACCUUAAACUCAAGUCCAUCUUACUAGCCUUUAGCAGUACCCCACCACUCUCAAAAUUUCCAGCAUUAAAUGUCUCGGAGCUAUAUAAAAGGCAGACUUAGGUAUAAGUAGGAAGAGAUAUCAAGGGCUUGGGUAUCAUUUCAGCACUAAUGGAGCUUAUGGCAUGUAUGAAUGAACCUGAUGCGUGGUCUCCACGGUAGAUUGUUACAAUUGAGGUCCCACAUUUAUGAGAUUCCCAGUGAAAACAAAUCUCACAGCUUCACCUGAGAGAAACAUUACUGUCAGUCUCAGAUACAAAAGCCUGCUGCUAUUAGGUACCUAUACACCUGCUGAAAAUGGACCAGCUUUGCUGUAGUAGUGCGCGCAGGCAAAAAAAAAAAAAAACAUAAAAAUAACCCGUUUCUCAACAAAUAAAAUUAAUUGGCAGUCAUCACAUUCCCAAGGGAUCAAGGGGUAAAAUCUUUGGCAGCAUAUUGCACAGUGGGCAGGGUGUUUUUGGCUUCAUAAAAGUGAUAAGAGGAGACAACAGGCUAUUCUCUGCUCUUAGAAAUUAUUAGCUCUUUACUAACAUUUAAGAAUCCAUGGGGAAAUUUUUGCUCUGAAUUUGUUAGAAUGUUUAAUAUUAUAACAAUAAUAUUUAAGAUGUUGGUUUGAAGGUGGGGCACGGUGGCUCACGCCUGUAAUCCCAGCACUUUGGGAGGCUGAAGCAGGUGGAUUACUUGAGGUCAGGAGUUUAAGACCAGCCUGGCCAAAUGGUGAAACCUCAUCUCUACUAAAAAUACAAAUAUUAGCCAGGUGUGGUGGUGCACACCUGUAAUCCCAGCUACUCGGGAGGCUGAGGCUCGAGAAUCACUUCAACCUGGGAGUUGCAGGUUGCAUUGAGCUGAGAUUGUGCCACAGCAUUCCAGCCUGGGCGACAGAGUGAGACUCCAUCUCAAAAAAAAAAAAAAAAAAAAAAAAAGAUGUUGGUUUGAGUGCCUUUCAUAAGUUAACAAGCAACGGGAAAACAGCUCAAAUUUCAAAAAAGCAUUUAGUUCAUUGCCUCUGCGAUAAGCCUGUGCUUUCCAGCCCAGGAGAGAGAGUCCAUAUGGCAGGAGGCCUUCCUCAUCUCCUGGUGUGCCAAGCUCUCACCUUUCCUUUCAUGCCUGUGCUUUCCAGCCCAGGAGAGGGAGUCCAUAUGGCAGGAGGCCUUCCUCAUCUCCUGAUGUGCCAGGGUCUCACCUUUCCUUUCAUUUGGCUGGAGCUGUGCUGUCCAAUACAGUAGUCACUAGUCACAUGUGACCAUUAAGCAAUGGAAUGUGGCUAGUCUGAAUAAAAAUGUGCUUUAAUGUAAAAUACACAUUUGACUGGGAGAUUUAGUUUAAAAAAUGUUAAAUACUUCAAAUUUUCUAUAUUGCUUAUGCAUUAAAAUGAUAAUAUUUAGAAUACAUUGUGUUAAAGAAAAUGUAUUUUUAAAAUAAUUUAACUGACUUAUUUUUAUGUUUUUAAAAAUGUGGCUCCUAGAAAAUUUAAAAUACAUGGCUUGCAUUUGUGGCUCCCAUUAUAUUUCUGUUGGAUAAUGCUGGGCUAGCAUUUCCUUCCAGAUGAGCUCUCUCUGAAACCCAGGUGGAUGUGUUACCUGGAGAUGGCUCUAGUUAACCUGCACAGAUAUUGUUUGAGAGGGAGGAUCUCUGGUCCUCAAGCAUUGGCACACAGAUUAUUUUUCUGUUACCCCAGAGGAUGGAGUCAUGGAAAUCAAAGUUUGGCAAAAAGUGAUGACUGCCAAUUAAUUUUAUUUGCUGGGGAAUGGGUGAUUUCUUGCCUGAAUGCACUACCACAGCAAAGCUGCCCCACCUUAAGCAGGUGUGUAGGUACCCAGGUAGCAGGCUUUUGUAUCCGUGACUGACAGUAAUGUUUCUCUCAGUCCCUAAGCUACUCCUUAAACUACAUAAGAAACUGAUUCAGGUGGGUCGAAGUGAGUUUCAUCAGGAGUAGGAGAAGGAAAAUGGCAGCAAAGUGGCCAGGGAAGAUGCUGAGGAGAGGAGCAGUGAACAGUGGGGGAUGCAGGGCCUCAGCAGGGGGCAGGGGUGGAGGGGGGUGCAUUGGAACCUCACUGUGCCUGUCUGACGUCUUCUUCCUCUUUGACUUCUCCUUCCAUCUUUUCUCUCCUCAGUUUUUCCUCUGCUUUUAGAAUGAGUUAUUUUCAACGGAUUUGUACAAUGAAGAAAGGAGUUUAGUGUCACCCCUGGUCAAACUGGUCAAAACGUUUUUAGACAAUGCAGUAUAGGUAGAGUUCACCCAGCUCUAAUGAUACAGCAGCAAAAAUGCGGCGAAGCGGCAUUGCAUAGGCAGUCACGGUCACUAGGACCACAUCGCCCUUCUGGAAGAGAGUAUUACAGGGAGAAGGUGGAAAGAAAAUGAGAGGAGAAGCAAGUGUCUAGGCAGCUUGGGCUGCUAUCACAAAGUACUACAGAUGGGGUGGCUUAAACAAGAAACUUUUUUAUAGUUCUGGGGGCUGGAAGUCUCAGAUCAGGGUGUCAGGAUGGUCAGGUUCUGGUGAGGACUCUCUUCCUGGCCACCUUUAUGCUGCGUCCUCACAUGGCAGAAAGAGAGAGACCAAAACCUCUCUCAUAUCUCUUCUUAUAAGGGCACUGGCUGCAUCAUGAAAGGCCCACUCUCAUGAACCCAUCCAAGCCUAAUUAUUUCCCACAGGCCCCAUCUCCAAAUGCCAUCUAGUCGGGGGCUAGGGCUUCAACACAGGAAUUUUGAUGGAGACAUAAUUCAGUCCAUAGCACAAGAAGAGGACAGUCAGAAAAGGGGUAGAGUAGAUGCUGAAAAAAAGAGAGAUGGCAUGAGGAUUCCCAUUGUACUGUUCUCAUGUAUUAAAUGAAAAUACUAAUAGACAACCUAAAGACAUACUAAAAUUAAAAAAAUUCUCAUACAAGUAUAUUUUACUACUAGUCUCUUUACACAUAUAAAACACAAAUAUUUUGUUCCAUUUCUAAAUACAUUACAACUAACAAAAGUGUUUAAAACUCUUUAGCAAAGUGGGGGACUUCAAGAGCCUCAAGUCCUAUUUGUAUUGGAAAGUGCCCAAGGCCACCCCAGUGAGUUUUCUAGAAUCUACCACUAACCAUCUCACUCCUCUCCCCCCAUCUAGUCUCCCUCAUCUGUAACAGGAAGUGAUGUGUGUCCCCAAAGUCCUGACAGCUCUACAUGUCCCACACUUCACACACCUGUGGUCCCUCAUAGGCUUCUGCUGGCAGCUCAGUCUUGCCAAGGCGGGUCUCCCGGAAGCCUGGAGGUGCUGUUAUCUGACCAGAUUUUCUCAGCCUUAACCCCACACCCACAGGAUCCAGGAAACCCAGAGAUUGCAACAAGAAAGGCUCUUCUAUGUGAGACGGAGGAAAAACCUGAUUAGCAACAGUGAGGGUAUAAACUCAUCACUUUCGCCACUACUGAAGGGGUUUUUACAGUCAUACAUCAUUCUUCAUCAUUUUCCCUCUUUCUUCUAUGACUUAAAAUAGAUGUAAGUCAGGACUGAGAAUGAUGGUGUACAGUUCUCGCAAAAAGACUAUAGGGGAUGGCCGGUGGGAAUUGGGCAGGGUUAGAAAGAUUUAGUGAGAGGAGAGGCAGUCCCAGCAUUCUGCCUUCGGCUGACCCAGGCUGUACUCACUUUUCUAUGUCAGCCUUGAAAGACCAAAGGCCCAGAAGAAAAUAUGACCUUGCCUUUGGCCAUUUCCAGCUUCCUGUUCUUCAUACCCUCAAAACCUUUAUGCUCUGAGAAAAGUGACAUGUGAAAGUUACAUCAAAAAUGACUAAUAAUAACUAAAUAGAUAACAAUAGAGGUGACUGUAGUUGAAGGAGUACCUUAAAAGACUGAGCGUUGACUACAUUUUUGGGGUGAUCUAGCCUCAUCUGCUACCAGUAUAGGAAUUAUUUCUGUAACAUCUCUUUGAUAAUUUUUUUUCUUUUCUUUUCUUUUUUUGAAACGGAGUUUCGCUCUUGUUGCCCAGGCUGGAGUGCGAUGGUGCGAUCUUGGCUCACCACAACCUCUGCCUCCCGGGUUCAAGCGAUUCUCCUGCCUCAGCCUCUUGAGUAGCUGGGAUUACAGGCAUGAGCCACCACACUCGGAUAAUUUUGUAUUUUUAGUAGAGACGGGAUUUCUCCAUGUUGACCAGGGUGGUCUCGAACUCCCAACCUCAGGUGAUCCACCUGCCUCGGCCUCCCAAAGUGCUGUGAUUACAGGUAUGAGCCACCGUGCCUGGCCUCUCUUUGAUAAUUUUCUAAGCAAGUGGCUCUCAGUCACUGGUGUCCCUCCAGCUCUUCAGAGGUUGGCUGCCAAUUGUAAUCAAUGAGUUAAAAAUCUGAAUUUUGUGAUCACUGCAGCUGUACACUGUCACAGAGAGACCUGACAGAGGGAACACUGCCAUACAUAGACUGGGAAAACAGUGGGGCAUCACUUGUUGCUAAUCAGAGCAAGAAGGAGUGGUUUCAUAUUAGGUCAACAUACCUAGAAUGUGUGAAAACAUUGCUUCACGAGUCCAAGAUGUUAACACUUUUCUGUAAACAGUGAUGCAGGGCUGAAAAGUGACCCAAUGAAUAGGAGGAAGAGUUCUUUUAGAUUUUCUAAAUACUUCUUGCUAAAAAGGGAUAUUCCCCUUUUGAUUUCUUUAUGGGUGCCACCAAAAAGUAUGCAUUGAACAGAGAAAUGCUGAGAAGCACUGAUCUAAUUUCUGACCCAACUACCUCUAACAAUGGGAAAUAUACUUGUUGCUAGCCAGAUCCCAAGUAUCCUCCAUAGUCAUCUUCUUGUUCAUUCAUUCAUCCAAUAAUUAUGUUUGGGAACCUGCACAUAGAGAAUAAAUAAGAUAAAAUGUUGGCUCCACAGCUGCAGCUUCACAGUGAAGUAGGGGAGGGGCAGCACUGAGUUAGGCCCUAAAGGGCAUUUGGGAUUAGCCUAAACAAACACCUCAGCUGGGUACUCACUCAUGAAGGUUUACUUUUCCCUCUGCCUUUCAAGCUAAUGACUAAGGCUGCCAAGUAUUUACUCAACAAGAAAGACCCAACAAGGAUCACCGGUGAGGUGAUUAAAUACCUCAUUCCACCAGAGCCACCCAGGAUUGCUGUUUGGAUUAAAAGACAAUGUCAGCUUCCUCCUCUGUACAAAUGCCCACUACUCUGACUCACUAUGGGGCUGGUUUUGAAAGUUAUGUAUUAUUUGUCUGCAACCACCACAGAGUCCAGGGUCAUCUCUUGCCAUACUUGGACUUGCACAUACUUGGCACAGCUUUAGGACAUAUUCUUUAGAAAUAUAUCCCUCCCACUUAAAUUGACAAACCUAAACAAAACUUUUUAGGUUUUCUAUCCUCUAGAUUUUUACAGUGAACGUUUGCAAAUGGCUAUUCUCUGAAAUAAAUGAUUCACUUAUUUUUUUUGUAUUGUAGUACAAAUAUUUUUCUUUUUGAAAAUCAAAUUAGUCCUAUGUCUUGAAGUUUCAUCUGUCCUCCCCUUUUAAUGUUUUUACUUGUAAAGAGACCAAUCUAUAGUGCCAAGUGACUGACUUCAAAG
rnacentral:lncRNA from 1 species